rnacentral:tRNA from 1 species
GGAGUUGUGGCUCAGUGGUACAGUGCUUAACUAGCAUAUGUGAGGCACUGAGUUCAAUUCUCAGCACUGCA